rnacentral:tRNA from 1 species
UUUAUAAAAGAACCCUAACCUGUGGCGUUAGAAGAAGCGAUACAACGCUCCGGGGUC